rnacentral:rRNA from 1 species
UUAUGAAGUUAGCGGCGGACGGGUGAGUAACACGUGGGUAACCUACCCAUAAGACUGGGAUAACUCCGGGAAACCGGGGCUAAUACCGGAUAAUAUUUUGAACUGCAUAGUUCGAAAUUGAAAGGCGGCUUCGGCUGUCACUUAUGGAUGGACCCGCGUCGCAUUAGCUAGUUGGUGAGGUAACGGCUCACCAAGGCGACGAUGCGUAACCGACCUGAGAGGGUGAUCGGCCACACUGGGACUGAGACACGGCCCACACUCCUACGGGAGGCAGCAGUAGGGAAUCUUCCGCAAUGGACGAAAGUCUGACGGAGCAACGCCGCGUGAGUGAUGAAGGCUUUCGGGUCGUAAAACUCUGUUGUUAGGGAAGAACAAGUGCUAGUUGAAUAAGCUGGCACCUUGACGGUACCUAACCAGAAAGCCACGGCUAACUACGUGCCAGCAGCCGCGGUAAUACGUAGGUGGCAAGCGUUAUCCGGAAUUAUUGGGCGUAAAGCGCGCGCAGGUGGUUUCUUAAGUCUGAUGUGAAAGCCCACGGCUCAACCGUGGAGGGUCAUUGGAAACUGGGAGACUUGAGUGCAAAAGAGGAAAGUGGAAUUCCAUGUGUAGCGGUGAAAUGCGUAUAGAUAUGGAGGAACACCAGUGGCGAAGGCGACUUUCUGGUCUGUAACUGACACUGAGGCGCGAAAGCGUGGGGAGCAAACAGGAUUACAUACCCUGGUAGUCCACGCCGUAAACGAUGAGUGCUAAGUGUUAGAGGGUUUCCGCCCUUUAGUGCUGAAGUUAACGCAUUAAGCACUCC